rnacentral:lncRNA from 1 species
UGGGGCAGCUUUAAUCAUUGCAGACUGGAAUUAACUCCUUCUUCACCACUGCAGGACUAAAGCAAUCAUUCCCAGCUCCACCUCCACCUUCCCCUGAAGGGUAUGAAUAGGUUGGCUCUAGUAGCUGUUCUUUGGCUCUCUGUGGGUCUGCCAGCUUGUAGAGCUCCUUGGGAUGCCUGCCUCCACUUACUUCCCUGGGAUUGAGUGCAUAUUGGCCACUGAGGUAAUGGUUCCACUAUGUAGGAAGCGCUGGUUUUGGAAUGGAGCUACUGAUGUAAACUGCCUACUUCCAACAGACUGGUGAUAAAUCGAUACUUCAUGAUGUGGAGGGCACCACAGCGGCAAGUGAAGCUGUGAAGAGACAACUGCGUGUUAGGCAGCAGCUCUUUGUAGAAGGGUGCCUUAGCUACUAAAAUCUUCUAAUGUAAGUGUCUUACUAUUUUCUUGUUAAGCAUGCUGGAUACCUAUUUAUUUCUACCAUAACAAAGAUGACCGAGGGCAUGCCAUUUCAAGUUACUUUUUGAAGGUUUUUCAUAGGUUUGUGCUAUGAAUAACUGGUAGAGAAGUACAAAUUGCUUUCUCAUUGAGAAGCAUGUUCUUUGUAAUCUGUAUUCCUUUGUCUUCAAAUGCU